rnacentral:rRNA from 1 species
UACGAAGGGGGGCUAGCGUUGCUCGGAAUGACUGGGCGUAAAGGGCGCGUAGGCGGCUUGCACAGUCAGGCGUGAAAUUCCUGGGCUCAACCUGGGGACUGCGCUUGAGACGUGUGGGCUUGAGUGGGGAAGAGGGUCGUGGAAUUCCCAGUGUAGAGGUGAAAUUCGUAGAUAUUGGGAAGAACACCGGUGGCGAAGGCGGCGACCUGGUCCGUUGACUGACGCUGAGGCGCGAAAGCCGUGGGGAGCAAACAGG